UGAACCAAAAGGGUUCCCUCGCCAUUAGCCGUGGAAAGUACUCGACACUCGAUUACCCCUUAUGUGUGCGAUCACGUUUCGAAGAGUACUCACUUUUUGGAUAUUUACACAAGUUAACCUACUACGAAGAGAAGGAAAAGGGGUCCGGAAUACGAGGAAAGCACCAUACCUUAAGAGCUUUCUUCGAACUCAAAGCAAAACACCCACCGAGCCUUCGCAUCGAAGCUUACAUGAGUGGCGGUUAUGUGGAUCAUAGAAUAUCUGGAAACUACGAUAUCGUCUAUGCUGACAGUACUUGUUUUAUAGUCGCUACACCUAGAAAAGAAAUUUCGCAAUGCUUACUCUGGAGGCGAGCAGCCGCUACAGAAGCGCAGCGUACUCCAUGCAGGAAGGCAUUCAGAAAGCUGUGCAGUCAGUAUGCGGGACAUAAAUUUGUAUACACGAAAGAAAGGUGCAAGAUGAGCAACGAUUUAUAACGGUCAUUCCUCCAUACAUAGGUAGUUUUUGCAGGAAAUUGUUGCUUUACGUUACUGGAAUGAAAAUGUAAGACUUGAAUCUAUGGGUUAGCACUAAAUAAAAUUUCACUGGUCGGAGAAACUUUUCUAGCGAAGCCCUUUAUGGCUAGCCUACCCUGAAAUCUUUAUGUGCGUGCGCUAAAACUCAGGGCCCUCUCUUUGUCGUCGGUCUAAGUUCGUGAGUGACUAGUUUUCUUCCACUCUCCAAAUGUGGCGGGCACGCCGCGCAUGUCUACAUUGCGGUGGUGCGUAGUCCUGUCUACAUGUCACGCAUGUCUACUUUUCGCCAGCUCCUCGACGCAACUGCGCUCUAAUCAAGUGUGUGGCUAGUUUCCUCCGGCUGCCCGAGGGAGCGGUAGUCGUCCAGGCUGGAGCGCACUGAUAAAACCAGCAGCUACUGAACAGUGCAUUUAAUAGAGCAUGAGCGAUUGGUCGUGCAUAGAUAAGGACCAAGACAAAAAUCUAACUGCUACCGAAAAACACGCGUAGCCAAAACAAAGCACGUCGACAAGCUCGAGCAGAGGCAAUAAAAAAUGUGCUGACCGACAAACGAGCAGCGCACGUGGACGCUACCUACACAGGCCGGAUAAAUAGUAUCAUCACGGCAGUUCAUAGAUAUGGACGUACGUUGAUGAAAGAAACUAUUCAGGCCGGCUGCAUUACGGAGAGAGAAGAAACUCCGAUCGCUAAUGAAACAACCACUUAGGGCAGGAAAUUGAUCCUGUCGAAUUCGAUGUCGGCUAUCAAGGCAUGUGCGGCCGGGUACAUGAAAAGCACGGCUCUGCAAAAUUUAACACAACCUGAAGAUGAAAUAAGAAUCCGAGUGAUCUCUAGCGCUUAGCUUCGGAGACCGGCUCAGCCGGGACAGGAAACAAAGGCGGCUCUAUCCACCGUGACACGACAC